GUUGUGCCCUUGAGGCGUGGCUUCCGGAGCUAACGCGUUAAGUCGACCGCCUGGGGAGUACGGCCGCAAGGUUAAAACUCAAAUGAAUUGACGGGGGCCCGCACAAGCGGUGGAGCAUGUGGUUUAAUUCGAUGCAACGCGAAGAACCUUACCUACUCUUGACAUCCAGAGAACUUAGCAGAGAUGCUUUGGUGCCUUCGGGAACUCUGAGACAGGUGCUGCAUGGCUGUCGUCAGCUCGUGUUGUGAAAUGUUGGGUUAAGUCCCGCAACGAGCGCAACCCUUAUCCUUUGUUGCCAGCGGUUAGGCCGGGAACUCAAAGGAGACUGCCAGUGAUAAACUGGAGGAAGGUGGGGAUGACGUCAAGUCAUCAUGGCCCUUACGAGUAGGGCUACACACGUGCUACAAUGGCAUAUACAAAGAGAAGCGACCUCGCGAGAGCAAGCGGACCUCAUAAAGUAUGUCGUAGUCCGGAUUGGAGUCUGCAACUCGACUCCAUGAAGUCGGAAUCGCUAGUAAUCGUGGAUCAGAAUGCCACGGUGAAUACGUUCCCGGGCCUUGUACACACCGCCCGUCACACCAUGGGAGUGGGUUGCAAAAGAAGUAGGUAGCUUAACCUUCCGGGAGGGCGCUUACCACUUUGUGAUUCAUGACUGGGGUGAAGUCGUAACAAGGUAACCGUAGGGGAACCUGC
rnacentral:rRNA from 1 species